CUCUCUCUCAUCUCCUCGGUGGCGGGAAAGAGAGGCACUUCUCCUUUCCCAAGAGUGAACUUUGGGGAACCCCGAAGUUUGCCUGUGGUCCGAGUCAGCUCAUAGAGCGUCUGCCCAUCACACAGCCACAUGACACAAACCUCUCUGUACCAACCCCGGGCCGCCAGCUGUGAGAACAGUCCUGAUGUUUACCGAGGACUCACGAUGUACCAGGCUCCAGGCCAAGUACCUCAUGCAGGUGACUCCCUUUCGUCCACUUGAUGUCAUCCGGGGGAACCGCGUGGCUGAGAACUUACCAGAGUCCUUACUGGAGGUCUUCAGGAAGGAACCUAAGGAAUCAGACCCAAAAGAGAGUGAGAGAACACGGAGGCAGAGAGCACGUCAGUGUGACAUUACAGGUGCUGUUCACAGAUGUCAUUGAACUCCGAGUAAUUGUUGGCUUUCCAAGUCGACCUAGGAGGGGGAGACGCAUGUGUCCAUGGGGCUGGCCACCAGCCUGUGAGAGCCAAUGUAGGAACAGAGAUGUUACCAGAACCAAGUUUCUGGGCAGAGAAGGUCAGAGCUGUGGUUGAGAGUGGGAAGCCACCAGACACCUGUGACGACCAGGCUCCAUGCUUUCCAGAGCGGGGACACAUACAGCUUCGCUGAGUCUUAGCUCUGCCACUUACAGCACGAGGAUCCUUUUCUCCUGCCAGCGUUGUGGUGAGGACUAAAUGAGCUAUUGUAUAUAAAGAAC